rnacentral:rRNA from 1 species
UGUUCUAUUUGUGGCAUGGAGGAUGAAAAUACCUUUCAUGCGCUUGUCUUGUGCCCAAAGGCGCGUGCGCUUCGCAUGGCCAUGAGGAACAUUUGGGCUCUACCUGCUGAGGAGGUUUUCAGAUAUACGGGGUAUGAUUGGUUUAUUGUUCUCCUGAGUCAUUUAAACCCCGUAAUGCGAGACCAAAUUAUUUUCUUAUUCUGGAGGGCCUGGCACUUGAGAAAUGAUUUGAUUUUUGGUAAAGGAAAGGAAUCAGUUUCAGCUUCUGCUUGCUUUGUGGAGGAUUAUUGGGCGUCCUUUGUUGCAUAUCAUUCUCCGAUGCCGGUGGAUUUUAAAAGUUGGUUCAAGAUUAAUGUCGAUGCUAGCUUCAUGGAGAGCAUUAGAGAAGCCAGUGUGGGGGUGGUGGUUAGGGACGAGGAGAGGGAAGUUAUUGUUCUCGUCGUGGGAUUUCAUUGA